rnacentral:rRNA from 1 species
CAGUAGCCGCGGUAAUACGUAGGGUGCGAACGUUAAUCGGAAUUACUGGGCGUAAAGCGUGCGCAGGCGGUUGUGUAAGACAGGUGUGAAAUCCCCGGGCUUAACCUGGGAACUGCGCUUGUGACUGCACAGCUAGAGUAUGGCAGAGGGGGGUGGAAUUCCACGUGUAGCAGUGAAAUGCGUAGAGAUGUGGAGGAACACCGAUGGCGAAGGCAGCCCCCUGGGCCAAUACUGACGCUCAUGCACGAAAGCGUGGGGAGCAAACAGGAUUAGAUACCCCCGUAGUCCCUGUCUCUUAUAC